UUUACCAAACGUACACUCCUGUUUUUCAUUAGGACUUGCGGACUUUCGGUACUUCUUUAACAAAUCCACAUGGAAAUCUUCCUCGGGUGUACCGUUUAGCUCGUCACAGCUAAGAAUAGAACUCUGAAAAACGAAUGCAUCGUUAUAAAUAUUUUGGAUAUUUCUAGAAAAGACUCAACUGGAUGGACUCAAAGGAAUCUGAUUAGCGGCCCCAAAAUGACAAACGUUUACAACUAUGUCAAAAUGAUGCCUUCGAGGAGAGUCCACUAUAGUUACAACAGGCUGACAUGAUGACCAGUAAUCUGGAUGAGCAUGGCAAUCAAUUUGGGUUUUAAAACUGUGCCUAAAUAACUGGCAGUUCUCUAGAAUAUGAUGCAAUAGUUAUCCAUGAGAACUGCGUAAACCUAUGGUAAAUGGUAGUUACCGAUGAGGAUAUUCAUUAAAGUCCUUCCAAACUGCACCAAAAGAGAAGUUACUCUCAAUCUUGCUAGUUUAAAGGAACUAUUAUGAUUGAAACUAAAUGUCAUACUCACAUACCUCGUAGAAUAUACCUUGCAAUUUUCAGAAGAUUGUUAUUUAAAUGCCUAUCAGUUGUUACGUAAAGCCCGAUUAAUGACCGAUUUAAAUUCCCUGGCCAAUUAUCCGUUGUUUUGAGAGCAAACUCAUUAACCGGUGUCAUGUUCUAAGCAAGAAUGUCGAUGAAACCUCUAAAGGUUCAAUUAGGUGUGCCGUAGCAAUAA